AAAGCACAGCAAUAGGGAACUUUGAGAGCAACUUGAAACACUAAUGUUUUGCUUUUUGAAUCUCAGUGAAAAUUUGGUUCAAUUCUGAUUUUAUUUAAUUUAACUAGUUAUUUUUAUUGUAUCAUAAAUGUAUUAUUCUAUGACAAUUUUUGAGUUUAAAAAUGUGAUACUUUGAGAAACAUUCCAAAUCAUUUUCAAAGUUCUCCUUGGUCAUAUUCCCUUUGUUCCCUGGGAGAGCCAAAUAAUACAUAAUACAUAAUUUACAUUUAUAUAAAUAUCACAUGUAGUUAUGCCUCUCUCACAGCUCUCACCAGAGUGCAGGGCAUGUGUCUACUAGGCUUAAAUUUUAAAUUUUAUUCACUUCUAAAUUCCUUUCUCCUAACACUGGGCUCAUCAUAGUUCACAUCAGGAAUAAACAAGUCUGAUGCAAGGAAAGACGGCACUUAAGCAUUUACAAAAGCACCUAAGGAUAAAUGACAUCAGUGCGACAGAAACGAAGUACUGUUGAGUUUCACACACAAGAGCAUCACUGCUCAAAGCUGGAGUUUGGCGUGAAGGAACGAAGGAAGGAAAGGCUAACUUAGAACACUGUUGUGGAAGAUGUGAAUGAUUGAGCUUCAGAGGAAAUACAAUGAUUCCAAAAGACAGAAAAUAUACUCGUGGAACUCUCUACUGAGUUCUGUUUUAAUACUGCUCAGUUUUAAAAUACAAUCUAAACUCUUGCCUUAUGCUUGAUUUUCAGACAAUGUAUUUCAAGGGCAUCGAGGCUGGAAAGGUUCCCUAUUUUCCUCAAGCAGAUACGAUCAUCUAUUCCAUCUCUACAGCAAUUUGUUUCCACGCAGUAAGUACAGUUCUUGGGAAGACAGCACAAGUUUCUACUUCUGCUUUACAUUAAGCCAAUGGUGGUGGGAAAUUGAAGCCUAGCAACACCUUUUUUUGUCAUUUCCUUCUUAAUGGUCUGUUUUCUCAGCAGAAGACCUUGCAUGUCUGAAAGCACUGAACAUGUUAAUGGGCCAGGCCAUGCUUAAAGAGCAGACCAAUAUUUACGUCUAAAUAGAACACAGGGAUAAGUGAAUUCCUAGCCCUGUGUUGCAGGGAGAGCACCUGAUGCAGUCCUUGCUUGCUGGGGAAAGCUACUGUAUAUGCAGGGGUGCGGUGCCCUCUGAGACACUGCAGCACUCCCGGGGAAAGCUACCGUAUAUGCAGGGGUGCAGUGCCCUCUGAGACACUGCAGCACUCCUGGGAAGGGGGGGAUAAGUGAGGAUCUCUCUGUUAUCUUUUUUUCUGUCUCUGUGUUAAUGACCAUUGAUUGCUGAGUUUGGCGUAGGAGGAGCUUUUACUUGCUUUUCCCCACAGUGAAGGUGUCAGCUUGAAGCUCAGUAAAGUCAAAUUAUCAGCUCGCUAACGGCCAUUCAUGCUUCCUGAUAAAGAUGGCUAUUCACUGAUUAUCAUCUCAAAAGCAACAUGUCUACUUGAAAGCAUAUUGACAAAGAUAGAUUCUUGAGAGUGACUUAAACAUAAAAGCAAUUUUUUAUCACUACAGUUUUAAAAAUGCAGC
rnacentral:lncRNA from 1 species